CCUACGGGAGGCAGCAGUGGGGAAUAUUGGACAAUGGGGGGAACCCUGAUCCAGCGACGCCGCGUGAGUGAAGAAGUAUUUCGGUAUGUAAAGCUCUAUCAGCAGGGAAGAAAAUGACGGUACCUGACUAAGAAGCCCCGGCUAACUACGUGCCAGCAGCCGCGGUAAUACGUAUGGGGCAAGCGUUAUCCGGAUUUACUGGGUGUAAAGGGAGCGUAGACGGUUAUGUAAGUCUGGAGUGAAAGCCCGGGGCCCAACCCCGGGACUGCUUUGGAAACUGUGUAACUGGAGGACAGGAGGGGCAGGCGGAAUUCCUGGUGUAGCGGUGAAAUGCGUAGAUAUCAGGAGGAACACCGGCGGCGAAGGCGGCCUGCUGGACUGAAACUGACGUUGAGGCUCGAAAGCGUGGGGAGCAAACAGGAUUAGAUACCCUAGUAGUC
rnacentral:rRNA from 1 species